AUUUCAUACCCGAAUUCCGAAACCUCACCCAAACAUUCAAUGGAUUUUACCCAAACAUCCCACCUCAAACGACCCAUAUAAUAUAAUCAACAAGAUUACUAGACUUAAGAGAAAGAGCAAAAGAGAGCAAUGAGUAUAGAAAAAUCAGUUGCAGCAGAUGAAUAUCACUCCAAAGACUUCGAUUGGGAAGACUUGAGACGAGAUAUUGAAUCCGACCCUUCAUUCUCCUUCCAUCUUUCUCCAUUUCUGCAAUCUUCUUCUCCAUCUUCAGAUUCUCAAGCAUGGUCUCAUUUCCAUUCUCGUCAUUCCACUGGCAAAUUCUUCAAGGAAAGACGGUAUUUACUUAAGGAAUUUCCUGACCUUCUUUCUUGUGAUGAUUAUUCCAAAGUUUUGGAGGUUGGCUGUGGUAAUGGAAGUACUGUUCUUCCUAUUUUGCGUGCAAAGGAGAAGACCAGUGUUUAUGCCUGUGAUUGUAGUGUUGAGGCACUUGAGAGAGCUAUGCAGAAUAUUGCUGAUGCCGAUAUUGAAAAUGUCAUAUAUCGCUACCAUCAAUUCUGCUGCGAUUUCUCUGUAGCUCAGUUUCCGAAGUGGUUGGCGUGUGAUUUAUGUCGGACCAAGCGGGUAGAAAAGUCGUUACCUUACUACACAUGCAUAAAAUAUGAAGUCAAUGAGAGUGAAGGAACACUAACUAGUUCGCCUCCCAACAAAGAUGGUCGGUGUUGCCUUGGUGGAGUGGACUUUUUGACAUUGAUAUUUACACUAUCCGCUGUUUCACCCGAGAGGAUGAUGACUGCAGUCAGGGAAUGCUUUUCUGUAUUAAAGCCAGGCGGCCUGCUCCUUUUCAGAGAUUAUGGUCUUUAUGACAUGACCAUGCUUAGAUUUGAACCGGAGAAAAGAGUGGGUUUUAGGCAUUAUAUGCGUGCGGAUGGAACGCUCUCUUACUUCUUUGAUUUGGUUUGUGCGAGGGAUCUUUUUGUUGGUGUUGGCUUCAUUGAGCUUGAACUAGAAUAUUGUUGCGUCAAAUCGGUGAAUCGACGAAAAGGAAAGAGCAUGAGAAGAGUAUGGGUUCAUGGAAAGUUUCAAAAGCCUUCUUAAUUUUCGAUGAUUUUACGACACACGUCUUUUUCUGACUGUUCGUUUUGUGAUAAUAGCAAUGUGGUUUAAAAAUGACGAUAAUGAAAACAAUUUUCCAUCGCCUCUAAUGUGGCCUCCGCCAGGCGCCAGGGCCGCCUAUCGUUGAAAGGUAUUGUAGGACAGUUCGACUUUUUACUUGCUACCUAUUAGUGGCUUAAACUGUUGCGGAAAUGUUGAUGGAGAAAGUUUCAAGUAUCGUUUUCUUUAAAAGUAAUGCUAUCGGAAACCAGAGAAAGUAAACUGAGGCGUUUGCUGCUUUACUUGUAUAGUGAGUUUUUGAUCCCAUGAGAAGACCUAUACUUCUGUCAUCUAUGCCUUAUUCAAAAUCAAUUUGAUUGACAUAAAUUUAGUGUUUAGUGAUAUUGAACCAUAGAUAAUGUUCAUUAGCCUAAAAAAUUUAGUAUUUUUUCGAGUUUUGAGUUUCGAGUUUAUCUGAAAUUGUGCUAUAGUCAAAAACAUCGCUCGACUCCGCAUUCUUGCAAUCUUAAGUUAAAUCGAUAUAUGCAUUUUUCA